AUAUAUAUAUAUAUAUAGUCGUUUACACCUGCCUCGGCCUUCGAUCCUUUCGAUAUAUCGACGCUAUAGUUGAUCCCGAUAUGGAAAACAUAGCCGUUACAUCGGUAGUUAGGCAUAUAAAAAAAAUUCAUUGGUAACGUACACACACAUAUACACAUACAUACAUACAUUUAUUUUUGUUUUGAAAUAUAUAUCUGUGCUCAUAUCGUACCAUUGCGACCUUCAAUAGACAACGUUUCUUCUGUUCUCUUUGUGUUUACAUAGAUCACCUUUGUUAAUGAAUCGAACGUACGCGAGUACAUAGCGAACAUCGUCAGUCUUUCGUAGGUCGUCGAAGAGGUUACACCUUCUAUUCCUUCGUUUGAUUAAAUUGAAUCUUUGAUCGUUUAUUAUAUACUACGCUUAUUAUAAACCAUAUAAAUCGCUUUAUAAUUACUAGUUUCAAUUCUCAACUUGUUUAAUAAUUCAUUAAUUACGAUUUUUAUAUAUAUAUAUAUAUGUAUGUACAGAUACGUAUAUAAUCGAAAGAUAACAAUCAUUCCAAUUAGAAAGAACGAAUGAUAAACAGACUCGAGGAAACAUCGUGUACGUUUAUGUUAUUUUAUCUCUUCCGCGGAUCAGAAAUUCAUCUUCGGCGUCGAUCGUCGAGUUAGUUGCUAGUGCCUGUUUAAAUCGAUAAGAAAAAUAUUGUACCGUCGAGAGGAAGCAAUUUAAAGCCAUCGCCGUGUACGAUUCUACUCGCGGUACCCUCCUGAUGGCGCCGCGGUAACAAACUGCUACUAAAUCACCUUUGGCAGACCGUGAACCCGUUCAUCUCGAAGACCGGCGGACGCAGGUGUUGGCUAAAGCGGUCUCAACGAGUAAAGAAAGAAGAAGAGGAAGAAGAAGAAGAAGAAGAGGAGGAUCCAAUCUCGGACGUGCCGCACCGAUGUUAUAAUAUUCCGAAGGAAUAAGUAAACGAUUACCAGAGCGUGCUGCGGUCUUUCGUGAAAGAAGAAGGCUCAUGGUGAAAGACUCAAACUUUUCUAACGACUUCAUUUCAACGCCUACUCCACUUCGUCCUUCUUCAAUAGGUGCUAAUUUAAAUCAUCGUUCGUUCGUUUCCCGUUUUAUUUCGUAUAUUUAAUUCUUUCUUAUACCAUCUUGACAUAUAUUUAACGAUAUAAUUUUGGACGAGCGAGAUUUUCCGAUGUACUUGAGUUUUCGAUAGAAUGAUUUUUGAUAGGGUAUGUAUAUCUUUGAUUUACGUUUAUCUUUAAGUUUCGUUAUUUCUCUAAGAAGAAGAACACGGCGACGAUGAAGAUGAAGAAGAUGAUUCGUUUUGGAAAUUUCGAAGUUUAGCACGUGGCAUCGAUAGAAAACGUCACUUUAACUUCGUCCCACCUUCGGCGAAUGGAAAACAAAGGAUGCGUUUGCACCGAUCACGUAACGAGACGGAAAGUAUAGCUUCGAGCGCAACUAUGAAUUAUACGGGCCGCGAUUAUAGGUAUUACGCGCAUGUAGCGACCGUAAACGGUUGUACGUUGUGCUAGAGAGGUCGCUAAAGAGGACCACGAGUUGUUUUGUUUUUGUUCCUCUUCUGUUUUCUUUCCUCUUUUUUUUUUUCUCUGUCUCACUUGAUAAACUUACUUACACGACAGAUGAAUCAUCGUUGUUAUUAAUUCGUUCGUUCUUGAUAUACGCAUUUCGAGAUAUACAUUGUUAAUGCGAAAGAAAAAAACAUAGGAAGGAGAAAAAGAAGAAGAAGAAGGAAAAGAAGAGAGAAAAAAAAAGAAGAUUCGUUGGAUCAUUUCUGCGUAAAGUAAAUUUUCUACGCACGUGUGUUUGUGUGUGUAAGUAUACAUAUUUUUUUCUUCUUCGUGUUUCCUUCUUUUUCUUUUUUUUCAACGCGGUUCACGUAAUUAUUGCUGUUCGUUGCGUUAAGAUCACGACAAGAUGGCCGAAGCUUUUCAACUUUUUGAUAAUGGUUAAAGAUAACAGAAGAGGGUAAAGAGAGAGGAAAAGAAGGAGAGAGAAAGGGAGAGAGAGAGAGAGAGAGAGAGAGUCCUGCGAAAAUCGUCGAAGCCGACGAUUAUCACUCGUUCGACGUACGCGAGCCGUAUCGCUCGCUUGUCUCGGGCAAAUUGGCUCGCGUGUCUUCCGGCCGAAGCUCGUGGAAUUUAUGGCUUCAUCGUGCUUUCUCAUCUUAUGUCGUUACCCUCAACGUCCUAUCUAUUCUGCGUUAGGUAGAGAAACAAGUGGACGUUUUUUCUUUUUUUUUUCUUUUUCUUUUUUAUUGUUUUUUUUUCGUCAAUAGACAUCGAGCCACCAUAAGUAUCUACCUACCUAUCUACCUACCUACCUACCUAAAUAUCAUUUUCGUUUUUUAUGAGUACAACGAAAUGCCAAUAUACAAGAAGAAUAAUUCUCGUCCGUAGACAUUGCGAAUUAUUUGUAACAAGGUAUCGUACAUAGAUCACGGUGUUAGUCAUUGAAAAUUGCACUUUAAAGAGCUCGUAAAUAGAGCUUGCGAAGUGCGCUCGAAUGUUAACGCUUCGGAUCGCUGCAAUUUGCAAAGUGAAUGGGAUCGUACUAACAUGGUUUGUAAGAAAGGAAAAGGAUUUGCCACGAGAGAGAAUAUUCGUUCUUUCAUGCUUCGACGAAUGAAAUAUUAUUGGGUAAGAAUGUUUUCGCGAUAUCGAUGAUUUCAUUUUUGUAUUAAUUGCUUGAACAUUUUUCUAUGCGAUUUAUAAUAGUUUAUAGCUCGUAUAGAUGUAGAAGUAUAAUAUGUAGAAUCGUGGCAAAUUGAAUAACCGACGAUCUUCUUAAUUCGAUUUGAAGAUCAUGUUCAUGUAUGUGGGAUCGGUUUAUCAGAUCGUUUCUAUUGAAUCAGUCCAUUAGUAGUCCAUCUAAACCCUUCGGAUAUCCCUCUCUCUCUCUCUCUCUCUCUCUCUCUCUCUCUCUCUCUCUCUCUCUCUCUCUCUCUCUCGCUUUUUCUCUUUCUUUCUUUUUCUAUUCGCUAGACACGUUUCCUCGUCGCAAAAUCCACCCUCGACCAUCGCGAUUGGUUUUACGCGUAGAUCUCUGCAACAGACUGUGACAUAUUAGGUUACCCCUCGAGGAUAUCAUCCCUGUUUAAGAGACCCAUAAAGAGAGGGUGACUCUAAAAGUAAAUUUAUUGUUUCGCGAUGUUUAGUGGCCGAACGAAAGCCGUGGGAGCGAACGUCGUUCUUUCCCUCGUUCUAUAAUAAUAUCUUUUCAACGUACUUAAAGAACUUUAAUUCAUCUUGAUUAACUAAUUGAAUUAAUUGAAUGGAAUUUUUAUUUUUAUCUAAUUCCUUUGAUCGCUCUAAUUACUUAUUCUAUUACUGUAAUUAUUUGUAAGUUAUUAAUUUAACGAUUUAUAUGGUAUAUUCGUAGGAAUAUUUUUUAUUGGAAUUGGUUGGAAAUAUAACGAAUUCAUAGAUUUAGAAUAUUUCAAAUUUUCGAAAAGAGAAUUUUUGCCGAACAAUAAAGCGUUCUCGACGAUACGGACCCGGUGCAAAGAGUAGUCCGGCAAAGAGUAGUCGGGCCAACGCUUUUUCGGAGAAUUUAUGGUCCCUCUUUAUCGGCAUGAAAUUCGGAACGGGGAAAAGCCGCUCUCCAUAAAAAUUCAUAGCUUGCGUAAACGUCUCUUCGCUUCUCGGCCACACUUGACAAACUGCGGUCUAUCCCUUCGUUUCACGAGAUAUCGAUCUUUCCACACUAUGUGUAUAUCUAUCUGUCUAUCUAUAUACAUAUAUCACUGUAAUAUUUUUAUUCGUGGUUCUUCGAAAAAAAAAGAGAAAAAAGA